rnacentral:rRNA from 1 species
UCUGUAGGCUCCUCAAUAAGUCUGGUGUUAAAGCGCAGAGCUCAACUCUGCGUCUGUACUGGAAACUGUUGAGGUAGAACAAUUCAGGGGCAUCUGGAAUGCUGUGUGUAGGGGUUAAAUCCGUUGAUACACAGUGGAACGCUAAAAGCGAAAGCAGGAUGCUGGGAAUUCGUUGACGCUGAGAGACGAAAGCGUGGGUAGCGAACAGGAUUAGAUACCCUGGUAGUCC